GACGAACGCUGGCGGCGUGCUUAACACAUGCAAGUCGAACGGAAAGGCCCCUUUGGGGGUCCUCGAGUGGCGAACGGGGGAGUAACACGUGAGUAACCUGCCCUUGACUUCGGGAUAACUUCAGGAAACUGGGGCUAAUACCGGAUAGGAAUCCUUGCUGCAUGGGGGGGGUUGGAAAGCUUCGGCGGGUUUGGAUGGACUCGCGGCUUAUCAGCUUGUUGGUGGGGUAGUGGCUUACCAAGGCUUUGACGGGUAGCCGGCCUGAGAGGGCGACCGGCCACAUUGGGACUGAGAUACGGCCCAGACUGCGACGGGAGGCAGCAGUGGGGAAUAUUGCACAAUGGGCGGAAGGCUGAUGCAGCAACGCCGCGUGCGGGAUGACGGCCUUCGGGUUGUAAACCGCUUUCAGCAGGGGCGAAGCUUGUGGUGACGGUACCUGCAGAAGAAGCACCGGCUAACUACGUG
rnacentral:rRNA from 1 species